UGAGAAGCUUCGACUAAGGUUCGACUCGAGCGCCAGCGAGAGAGCGUUGCCGCAGGCAACGACCCGAAGGGCGAAGCGCGCAGCGCUGAGUAAUCCUUCCCCCACCACCA
rnacentral:sRNA from 1 species